rnacentral:misc_RNA from 1 species
AACACCUCAAAUCUCUUUUUUAUUAAAGAGAAUUGGACUUGAGCAAUCCCAACUCUUUGCAAAAGGAGGCGGGUUGCUUGAAAUGCAGGUGCAGCUGGACAUUCUUCUGAGCUAAAAGCAUAUUUAUUUAGUCCCGUCAAACGGAUUAUUACUUUUGCUCUAGCUAAUAUAAAGGUCGAAUGUGCUAUAUGCUGACUGAUGCAGGAUUACCAAGUUUUACUAGCUAAAACUUGUAA